GACGAACGCUGGCGGCGUGCUUAACACAUGCAAGUCGAACGUGAUUUUUGUGGAAAUUCUUUCGGGAAUGGAAAUGAAAUGAAAGUGGCGAACGGGUGAGUAACACGUGGGCAACCUACCUUACACAGGGGGAUAGCCGUUGGAAACGACGAUUAAUACCGCAUGAGACCACAGAAUCGCAUGAUAUAGGGGUCAAAGAUUUAUCGGUGUAAGAAGGGCUCGCGUCUGAUUAGCUAGUUGGAAGGGUAAAGGCCUACCAAGGCGACGAUCAGUAGCCGGUCUGAGAGGAUGAACGGCCACAUUGGAACUGAGACACGGUCCAAACUCCUACGGGAGGCAGCAGUGGGGAAUAUUGCACAAUGGGGGGAACCCUGAUGCAGCGACGCCGCGUGAGCGAAGAAGGUUUUCGAAUCGUAAAGCUCUGUCCUAUGAGAAGAUAAUGACGGUAUCAUAGGAGGAAGCCCCGGCUAAAUACGUG
rnacentral:rRNA from 1 species